UUCUUGUGCUUCCCUUUCAAUGCCAGCCUUGACUGCUAAUCGCACAGACAGCUAAAAAAGUGAAAAUAUGACCUCCUUUGCAUAGCUAAUCUAACUAGGAGGAAGAGGGGAUGCAGGAGGGCUUCAAAUUAUUACAGUGAGCAUGACUUCAAAUAAUAUUAUGUCAUAGCUGUUCUUGUUGGACUCGUUCUAGUCACUGAUUAUAUUCAUUAAUGGAUGCCGAGAGAGGGCAGGAGGCUUCAAGGGGAUUUGCGUAUCCGAGACCGUACAGGAUAAGGAGCUGCUCUGAUUUGAUGGCAGGAUUAUGGAGUAGAAAAUGAAAGAACAUUCUUCGCCUGCUUCUGGUUCUGAGAGACUAAUUAGACAACAGUGAUGGGGAAGAUGCCCCCUGUGUGGCACCCUUUAGUGAGCCAUCACAAAUUAGGCCUGUCAAGCAGAGUUGUGGUGACGCCAGAGGAAGAGGAGCAAGAUAACCCGAUAGCAGCUACAAGCAUGGCUCAACAUUAAAGAGAGGGAGGAUUCAGUCUUACCCG